CGCGACUCGGGUAGAAAUCACGGGCGACAACCCGAGUUGGUUUCCCCGUGUUGGACCGUCGAGCAGCUCUGUUUCAUGCGCGCGGGUAAUGGAACCCGCGGCCUUCACCCCGAGUCGAGACGUCGCGACUUCUUCCUCUUCGUGCGCGCUGGUUCGGCUCCCCGUGUCUCUCGACCCCGAGUUGAGACGUCGAUGCUUCCUCUUCUUCGUGCGUGCGGGUUCAGGAUCCCGCGAGAAGACCGAGCCGAGAGCUUCAACCCGCGUCGUCGAGCUUCAUCUCCUCCGUCGUGAGAAGACCGAGCCGAGAGCUUCAUUCGCCAUCACGGGUUCACGACCUCUCUAACUCCGCGUCUCACUCCCAGAUCUGAGCCGUGGUCUCAGGUGCUCGAGUCUCGUCGUCGUCGUGCUUCCCGCGGCUGGAAUCAGCCUCGCCGUCAACCAGAUCGUGAAGCUCGUGUCUCCCAUGGUGAAGUUUCGCUUAUUUGCAGAUCUAGUCCCCGACAGUUUGCUUCUUUUCACUUGGGCUCCAGAACUUUUGGAUAAUUACUUUUCGACCCCAAAACUCUUGAAUAUGCAGAAAGGCUGUACAAAGUCUUGAACAUUCUUGAGUUCAAUAGCACGAGGCAAAAUAUGCUAAUAAUAGGGCGUGAUAAAGAUGGGAAACUCUGGCUACUUUUUGAAGGACCAAAUAAGUCAAAGUUGGGUGCACAAGGCAUGAAGCAACUGUGCUUAAUAUAGAUACAAAAGCAAAUGUUGUGUCAAGUUAAAUCCUGGAUAAA